CGGUGGAGCAUGUGGUUUAAUUCGAAGCAACGCGAAGAACCUUACCAGGCCUUGACAUGCAGAGAACUUUCCAGAGAUGGAUUGGUGCCUUCGGGAACUCUGACACAGGUGCUGCAUGGCUGUCGUCAGCUCGUGUCGUGAGAUGUUGGGUUAAGUCCGUAACGAGCGCAACCCUUGUCCUUAGUUACCAGCACGUUAUGGUGGGCACUCUAAGGAGACUGCCGGUGACAAACCGGAGGAGGGUGGGGAUGACGUCAAGUCAUCACGGCCCUUACGGCCUGGGCUACACACGUGCUACAAUGGUCGGUACAAAGGGUUGCCAAGCCGCGAGGUGGAGCUAAUCCCAUAAAACCGAUCGUAGUCCGGAUCGCAGUCUGCAACUCGACUGCGUGAAGUCGGAAUCGCUAGUAAUCGUGAAUCAGAAUGUCACGGUGAAUACGUUCCCGGGCCUU
rnacentral:rRNA from 1 species